ensembl:rRNA 5S_rRNA 5S ribosomal RNA
UUUGAGUGCCAUAGCAGCCUGAAUGUGCCCCUUCCUGGAAGCUAAGCAUGAUCAGUUCUGUCUAAGACUUGGAUUGGGGACUGCAUGGGGAGACCGGAGGCUGUAGUAU